UCUUCCACAAUGGACGAAAGUCUGACGGAGCAACGCCGCGUGAGUGAAGAAGGUUUUCGGAUCGUAAAACUCUGUUGUUGGAGAAGAACAAGUAGGAGAGUAACUGCUCUUACCUUGACGGUACCCAACCAGAAAGCCACGGCUAACUACGUCCCAGCAGCCGCGGUAAUACGUAGGUGGCAAGCGUUGUCCGGAUUUAUUGGGCGUAAAGCGAGCGCAGGCGGUUCCUUAAGUCUGAUGUGAAAGCCCACGGCUCAACCGUGGAAGGUCAUUGGAAACUGGGGAACUUGAAUGCAGAAGAGGAGAGUGGAAUUCCAUGUGUAGCGGUGAAAUGCGUAGAUAUAUGGAGGAACACCAGUGGCGAAGGCGACUCUCUGGUCUGUAAUUGACGCUGAGGCUCGAAAGCGUGGGGAGCAAA
rnacentral:rRNA from 1 species